UACGUAGGGGGCAAGCGUUGUCCGGAAUCAUUGGGCGUAAAGAGCGUGUAGGCGGCCCGAUAAGUCCGCUGUGAAAGUCCAAGGGCUCAACCCUGGAAUGCCAGUGGAAACUGUCGGGCUGGAGUCCGGAAGAGGCGAGUGGAAGUUCCUGGUGGUAGCGGUGAAAUGACGCAGAUAUCAGGAGGAACACCAAUGGCGAAGGCAGGUCUCUGGGCCACUACUGACGCUGAGACGCGAAAGCGUGGGGAGCGAACAGG
rnacentral:rRNA from 1 species